rnacentral:misc_RNA from 1 species
GAUGAAGAACGUAGCGAAAUGCGAUAAGUAAUGUGAAUUGCAGAAUUCAGUGAAUCAUCGAAUCUUUGAACGCAUCUUGCGCUCCUUGGUAUUCUGAGGAGCAUGCCUGUUUGAGUGUCAUUAAAUUCUCAACUACACUGACUUUGAAUUGGUGUGGCUUGGAUUUGGGGGGAAAAUUGUUGUGGGCUUUUUGUAUAGUCUGCUCCCCUGAAUUUGAUUAGCGGUACCUUUGUGGAACUGUCUACAGGUGUGAUAAUUAUCUACAUCUUAGACAUCUGCUGGAAUGCUGCUUUCUAAACCUUACUUGUAUUGACAAUCUUGACCUCAAAUCAGGUAGGACUACCCGCUGAACUUAAGCAUAUCAAUAAGCGGAGGA